UAUUCAGGAAUAAACUGGGCUCUGUAUGCUCCAAGAUUUGUAAACUUGAAAAAGGGGUGGCUGGCAAAAUUCAACCAGUCAGUAUGAGGAGACUUAAGUAGUAGUCGAAGUUUUUCUGGGGCUGAACAUCUGCAUGGAUGCCAGUCAGGAACACGGCCAUACUGAUGGUCACCAGCGUGAUCUUCAUGAUUGUGGGUGAAGAAAAUAAGGAUGAAUACAGCAGAUCUACAGAAGUGAGUCUCAGAGACCUCAAGCCUGAGGUGCCAGCCUACACGGCCCUUCCCCUCACCCAGACAGCCAAUCACGGACACGGAAAAGCACCGAACAAUGUUUCUUUUCAUCUAAACAUUGGCACGGUGGCUCAGUGGGUAGCAUUGUCACCUCACAGCAAGAAGGUUCUGCGUGCGAUCCCCUGGUGGGGCAGUCCGGGUCCUUUCUGCGUGACGUUUGCAUGUUCUCCCCGUUUCUGCAUGGGUUUCUUGCGGGAGCUCCGGUUUUCUCCCACUGUCCAAAGACGUGCAAGUGAGAUGAAUUGGAGAUAUAAAUUGCCCAUGACUGUGUUUAACAUUAAACUUGUGAACUGAUGAAUCUUCUGUAACCAGUAACUACUGUUCCUGUCAUGAAUGUAACCAAAGUGUAAAACAUGACGUUAAAAUCCUAAUAAAUAAUGUUACUUGUUUUUCUUAGUCAUAGGUUUGAACUUAUCAUUGCUCACAGCCACACGGUACAAUGUCACUCAAACUACCAAGUAACACCGUGC